AGUCACAGGGCACUAAAUCUGGGCUGUAGGGAGCACUGAGUCACCUGGGUGAUUUGAUGUUUUGCCAAAAAACUCUGAAUGAGUUGUGAUGCAUGAGCGGGCACAUCAUCAUGAGGAAGCUGCCAAUUACCUGUGGCCCAUAACUAAACCAUUUUCAUUAUAUU